rnacentral:rRNA from 1 species
CCUACGGGGGGCUGCAGUCGAGAAUCAUUCACAAUGGGCGAAAGCCUGAUGGUGUGACGCCGCGUGGAGGAUGAAGGUCUUCGGAUUGUAAACUCCUGUCAAGUGAGAGUAAAGCCGGGCGUUAACUGCGAGCCGGUUUGAGAGUAUCACUAGAGGAAGAGACGGCUAACUCUGUGCCAGCAGCCGCGGUAAUACAGAGGUCUCAAGCGUUGUUCGGAAUCACUGGGCGUAAAGGGUGCGUAGGCUGCACGGUAAGUCAGAUGUGAAAGCCCGGAGCUCAACUUCGGAAUUGCAUCCGAUACUGCCGUGCUUGAGGACUGGAGAGGAGAUUGGAAUUCACAGUGGAGCAGUGAAAUGCGUAGAUAUUGUGAGGAACACUAGUGGCGAAGGCGAAUCUCUGGACAGUUCCUGACGCUGAGGCACGAAAGCCAGGGGAGCAAACGGGCUUAGAUACCCCUGUAGUC